GACGAACGCUGGCGGCGUGCUUAACACAUGCAAGUCGAACGGAAAGGCCCUGCUUUUGUGGGGUGCUCGAGUGGCGAACGGGUGAGUAACACGUGAGUAACCUGCCCUUGACUUUGGGAUAACUUCAGGAAACUGGGGCUAAUACCGGAUAGGAGCUCCUGCUGCAUGGUGGGGGUUGGAAAGUUUCGGCGGUUGGGGAUGGACUCGCGGCUUAUCAGCUUGUUGGUGGGGUAGUGGCUUACCAAGGCUUUGACGGGUAGCCGGCCUGAGAGGGUGACCGGCCACAUUGGGACUGAGAUACGGCCCAGACUCCUACGGGAGGCGGCAGUAGGGAAUAUUGCACAAUGGGCGGAAGCCUGAUGCAGCAACGCCGCGUGCGGGAUGACGGCCUUCGGGUUGUAAACCGCUUUCGCCUGUGACGAAGCGUGAGUGACGGUAAUGGGUAAAGAAGCACCGGCUAACUACGUG
rnacentral:rRNA from 1 species